rnacentral:lncRNA from 1 species
UGUUACUUUCCCACUGUGUUUCACUGAAGAAUGAUGGGAAAGCCAUGGCAAAGCGUGCAGAAUGCAGAGCUGAGCCAAGAAUAAGAAGCAACCUAGAUGUCCUUAUACAGGCGACUGUUUAAACAGACUGUGUUGCAACUCUACCGUGAAUAUGACUCAGCAAACACAAUGAGCAGACAAUUGAUGCAAGCAACCACCUGAAUUCCUUUCCUGAAAUUUGUGCUGAGUUGAGCCUUCCUGGAUACUUGAAGGGCCUCUACCUGUUCUCCUGUCUGACUUCUGUCUCUGCAGAGCCCAUUCCUGGCUACUCACUCAAAUGUUGCUUCUCACUAAGGCCAGACCUGGACCUUCCCUGGGUCCUGAAUCAACUCUCUGCAGUGUCUCCUGGGAAGAGAGGUUCUCUGGAUACCUAACUUUAUCUCACUUCAGCUGGGACCAUAUGCCAACCACUUCCUUAACUCAACAGUUUAGACUGACAUUCACUGCUGGCCUCUAAUUCAAUAGCAUGCACAGUUCCAAAAUCAAUGAGUCAAAUAUACCUGUCUUAAAAAAAUAAAUAAAUAAAUAAAUAAAAGAAAGAAAAGAAAAAGAAAAAAGAAAAAAAAAAAAAGAAAAGAAUUUUGCGUAUCAGGAUCAAAGUAUAUUCAAAUGAAGACCAGGCUUGAAGAAUCCUUGAACAGACAAAACCAGUAUGGCAUCAUAAAUAAUUUCAACCUUGCUUGAUUUGUAAACAUAAGCAAAACUUAACUUGAGCUAUUUCUUGUAAAUACCUACAUUAAAAGAAAAAAACAGAACUCAAGCUCAACCAAUCAGAAGUAGCAAACAAACCUAUAAUUAUGUAACUAGGGACUUUUCCCAAUGGGAUAUACCAAUUAAGGCCACUGUAUAUCUGUAACCAAUCAAACAUUUUCUUUGCUUUAUUUCCAUGUACAUCCUAUAAACGCCUCCCCCUCAGUGGAGCUCUUGAGCCACUUCUGGUUUGGAGCUGCCUGAUUCAUGAAUAUUUGUGUGUUCAAAUAAACUCGUU